rnacentral:lncRNA from 1 species
CAAUGUGCAAAAGAUAAGUAAAGUAUACAUCAAAAGCCCAUAUAAUCUUAUAAGAAUAUAGAUUAGUGCAUAAACUAGGUAUACGGACAGCAGUAAAACUAGGGUUACUAUUUGAUAUUGAAUGGGUUAUGUGUGAGUAGGAGAAAAUGAUUGUGUAUUCCAGGAAAUGUGAAUAUUACUAUUAUUGUACUUGUGAACAUAUGCAUUACAGUCCACAUACACACACAUUUUCAUUGCUCUUCUGAGUACACUGUUACUCAUAUAUUCAAUAUCUCAUAAUUUGUGGACUGUACAUACAUGAGACAUGGGUCUAUCCUAAAAUAACAUCAGUAUAUGUCACGGGUAAUUUAAUUAAUAGCAUUGAAACUACACAUAACUAUUAUUAUUAGGGCAUAUGCUUUCAUGCAUAUACUGAUUUUGUGAUGGAGGUCUGGUUAGGUUGCAUUUCUAUUUCAGUCCAAAUUUAUGCUGAGGGUUGUGAUAAAGAAUUGGUACCAACCAACAUCAAAAUAUAUAUGUACAGGGUAAUACUUGUUCUGACACAGGUUUCAUUGUGAGGAGAGGCAAGGUAGUGUGCAUUUUUUACCCUUGAGGAUACAUGGAUAAGAAGUAAAAUGGAUGUGUCACUAGUUUGGAAAGACUUACCAAUCAGAAUGGAAAAAAAAAAGUCAAAAUUCCUAA